rnacentral:pre_miRNA from 1 species
UGUAAACAUCCUACACUCAGCUGUGAGCUGCAGACGAGGCUGGGCGGAGGGUGUUUGCU